UACGUAGGGUGCAAGCGUUGUCCGGAAUUAUUGGGCGUAAAGAGCUUGUAGGCGGUUUGUCGCGUCUGCUGUGAAAUUUCGGGGCUCAACCCCGAACUUGCAGUGGGUACGGGCAGACUAGAGUGUGGUAGGGGAGACUGGAAUUCCUGGUGUAGCGGUGAAAUGCGCAGAUAUCAGGAGGAACACCGAUGGCGAAGGCAGGUCUCUGGGCCACUACUGACGCUGAGGAGCGAAAGCGUGGGUAGCGAACAGG
rnacentral:rRNA from 1 species